UCGGCUUCCUCUCCUCCCUGCCGCCUCCACCCAAACCCUAACCCUAGCUGCUCCACGCCGCCGCCAUCUCCGUCGCCCAGCCUGCCGGAUCCUCGCCGUCUCUCGUCCUCUCCCGUCGCUGCUGCUACCCCUUGCGCCGCCCCCAGCCUCCUCACCCGGACACGGCGACCAUGAGCGCCAGCGAGAGCAGGAAGGCUGGCGACUGGGCGCUGCCGUACAAGGGCCUGGCGGCCACCUCUGCGAGUGGGACGACUUGCGCGCGUGCCAUCGCCGGGAGGAGCGUCGGCUGCCGAGAACACGGCGGCAAUAGGAGGCGACAUGAAGAUGGCAUGUGGAGGAUGGCUCUCCGAGAUGGCUGCUGCGGCACCGUCGCCGUCGUUCUUUCCAUGGACAACCAGAUACUCAGGAGUGGCCCGUGCAAACAAUGUACAGGAAGCAAGCCAAGCAGGAAAAUGCAUUGUAUGAUAUAUAUUGGAGAAAAAAAGGCAUAAAAGCAGCACUACGGGUUCACCUAAUAGUACAAGACUUUCAGUAUCCGUCAUCCGCUGUUGGGUUCAUCGAGAGAAUACCGAAAGCGCUACGGCUAUGAAGAUGACAUGUUGAAGAAGCACCAUCGGCGUCAGCUUCACCCUUCUCCUCGGCAUGGAGAAGAUGUCACUCCCAAGUCGUGUGGAGAGCGGGCUGUCACGCAGCUGCAGCCUCCUCUCGCGCUGCUCCCAGGAUGAGGCUGCCGCCUCAAUACCCUGCCUAGCCCCCGCUUCGUUACGAGCAGCGAGCCCGGCUUUGACAUAGGGUUUGGCGAGCGAGCUCACUGCCAACCCCCUCAGAUCUGGUCGACUCGUCGCUGCCCGCCGUCAGAUCCGUGGUGCGUGGCAUGUUGAUGCUAGAAAAUGAUGUGGGUACAAGAAAAUGAUGUGAGAUAUGCCAGGAUUAGGCGGAGAUGAUGAAAGACUUUGUAAAAAAGUCAGAUAUGUUUUGAGGUUUCCAUAGAGCCGGCCAAUGAAACAACGCUGGUUUAUAGAACACAUCGUUUCUUCACAAUUUGACUACUAUGGUCACCGAAUCCUUGGAACAGGUUUCAGCUAAGGGUUGCAGAUGUUUUGUUUGGCUUGCAUGAAUUAAACCAUGCUUCCAGUUUUAAAGUACACUUGAGCCACAGUUGCUAAUAGUUCCAAGCUGAUGUUUGAUCCCCUUGCAUGAAUUGAACAUGCUACUCUGAAAUCAGAGAGCAGACAACUGUAGGUUUAUUUUUUGUUAAAGUAUAGUAGCUACUAGCUACUCUAUAUGCAAUGCGAGCAGAUUGUAAAAUAUGCAAACCCCUGAUGUAUACUAGGAAGUGUUAGUGUCUAGGACCCGCCGGUGAGCUGAUCCACCCUUUAGUUUUCCACCUUUUACUUUUAGCGUUUACUUUUCUUGUCCUUUCCUAUGGAUUUUCAUUAUUUCUCUUCUUUAUAUGUUCAAAUUGUAAAGGAGGGAAAAUGCACAUGUAUGUCCUUGAUGUAGAUCUCUGUGAUUUAUAUAUGUGCUCACGAGGACAUUCCCAUUGCAUCUGAAUUGACAAGUUGAAGAAUCUGGUCAUUUUGUGCUUGCCUACAGAACUGAUAUUUGUUAGCCAAACAAAAACGACUGAUGGUUGAUUAUCUCAACCACGAACGAGCAUUUCUGGAUUGUAGAACAAAGAGUGUCCCGGGCAAAAGGAUCAAGUUCUGGCGGGUGGGCAUCGGGAGUCCAGCUGGUUGGCUUCAGUCUUUGGGGUGCUGCCGGCUAGCGGCGCUGCUUCUGAGUGUCUCCUCAUCUCACUCCCGUGGCACCUUCGACCGGGAAAGGCUGCGUACAAUAGACCCAAAGUGGUCGGACCCUUCCCUGGACCCUGCGCAAGCGGGAGCUACAUGCACCGGGUUGCCCUUUUUUUGAAUACCUCUCAUAGGUCAAUAGCUUCUCAUGAUGGAGCACAAGGCCCUGUUGCAGUUAGCCCUGGAAAUGUUAGCUCUGCUAGGAGCCAACAUAACAGAAGCAUAGAAGAUGAUGCCUAGAACAUUGAGGUGAAGAAUGGAAGAUGAUGCACAGUCGUACAUGUGCUUACUUGAUGUUGUGCUAAGCCAUUUUGUGAGAAAUUGAGAUUGAGAAAUGAUGUUAUGUUAUCGCUAUGUCAUUCUAUGAGGACAGAGAAUUGUGUACUUAUUUUUAUUUGAUGUUAUGUCAUUUUAUGGGAAUCUGAGAGCUUAUUUGGUGA